AUUGAACGCUGGCGGCAGGCCUAACACAUGCAAGUCGAGCGGGGUAGCAAUACCCAGCGGCGGACGGGUGAGGAAUACAUAGGAAUUUGCCUUUAGGUGGGGGAUAGCUUGGGGAAACUCAAGGUAAUACCGCAUGAUCUCGCAAGAGCAAAGUGGGGGACCGCAAGGCCUCACGCCUUUAGAGAAGCCUAUGUCUGAUUAGCUUGCUGGGGAGGUAACGGCUCACCAAGGCGACGAUCAGUAACUGGUCUGAGAGGACGAUCAGUCAAACCGGAACUGAGACACGGUCCGGACUCCUACGGGAGGCAGCAGUGGGGAAUAUUGGACAAUGGGCGCAAGCCUGAUCCAGCAAUUCCGCGUGUGUGAAGAAGGCCUUCGGGUUGUAAAGCACUUUCAGUAGGGAGGAAGUGUUGAGUGUUAAUAGUACUCAGCGUUGACGUUACCUACAGAAGAAGCACCGGCUAACUCUGUGCCAGCAGCCGCCGUAAGAC
rnacentral:rRNA from 1 species